rnacentral:rRNA from 1 species
UACGUAGGGUGCAAGCGUUAAUCGGAAUUACGUGGGACGUAAAGCGUGCGCAGGUCGGUUUUAGUAAGUCUGAUGUAGAAACGGCCCCGGGCUCAACCGUGGGUAAUUGCAUUGGAGACUGCAAGGCUUGAAUCUGGCAGGAGGGGGGUAGAAUUCCACGUGUAGCAGUGAAAUGCGUAGAGAUGUGGAGGAACACCGAUGGCGAAGG